GUGUAGACUGAUGAGGGGGAAAAACAAUUUAAUCAAUUUUAGAACAAGGCUGUAACGUAACAAAAUGUGGAAAAAGUCAAGGGCUCAAUACUUUCCGAAGGAACUGUAUAUUCUAGAACGUCUGUUGAGAAAAUUCUAAUUAAAGGUACACCUAAUUUAAAGGGGUAAUGUACUGAAAACCCUAUUCAAUGAAAACUCCACAAGAAAAUCUAUUAGCUAGCAAGUGGGAGGGUUUUCAGCAGUCGAAUUACAUUUAUUCUGAGUGUGCAAGGGAACCACACCUUCAAAGCCCUUUACGCACCUGCAUAAGGUAAGUCUGAAUCGGAACUACUGAGAAGUGUGUAGGAAAGGCGUGCGUAGGAAAUAUACACCUUUCCUACGUCUGAAUCGGGCCCAUAUUGAAUUGUGUUAGGAGAUGUAUCGACUUCUUGGAUAGUUGCAUCUGAGCCACUGGCUUAAUCCUAUUCUUUAACUUUUAUUUUUGGUUGAGUUAGGAGAAGUGAAUCCAACAUACAAUUUGUCGACAAGUUUAUAGGCUAUUUAUAGUAUUUCAAAAGUGACAUUGAAUUGUGUUUGGUUGUCAACACAACCAAAUAUCAACAUUUGAAGGAGAUGUGUCUUCUGCUUGGAUAGUUCCAUCUGUGCCACUGAUUUAGUCUGGCUUUAAUUCCAGUUUGUGGAAUAAGUGGAGAUCUCUUAACAAUCAUUCUCGCGAUAGAAUAUUGGUGAUAGUCAGUGACAAAUAUCAUAGUUCCGCAGGGCUAGGCUUAGUUAAAACCCUGGAUGGGAGACCAAAGGGUAGCUAUAGACACAUUAUCCAGUAGGAGGUGCUGCCCAGCCUAUAGUUAUUUUUUAUCGUGGAUAUAAGGUUGAAGAUCUGAUGUUUUCUUAAAGUUACAAGUUCAACAUAUUUGAUACAAGGUUUGUCUAUUUUGAAAUUUGGUUACCAGGAUGAAAUAAUCCCGUGUUUGAAAUAUCACCCUCAAAACAACAUUUUACGUUCAUUACUUUUUUCACAUUGAAUGCAUUUUCCACAUAAAUUCCAUGUCGCUAUACGUUGACAUAUUAUGUUGAAACGACAGUGAGUCAUUCAGUUUAUGCCCAGUUUGUAGGCUUUUGCUCGGUGGGCUAAUGCUGUCUGCUCAGGUCUAGCUGGUAUCUGUGCCAGUGGUAAGGUUCCCCAGUGUAGCAAAUAACUCUUCCAUCUCUUUCUGCAGGAGAACAUUCUGAGUCUCAGCAUCUUGCCUUGCGCGUUCCGAGUUCCCCAGUUGGAUCUCCAACAUGAAUAACCUCUUCUUCUCCUGGCCUAGAUCCUCUUCUAAACGAUCAGACUGGAGACGAAGACCUGAACACGAAUCCUCUAACCUGAGAACAUCAAGAGAGAGAGCUCCUCCUUCAACUCCGUCACCAGGCUGAACAGACCCUCAUUGACCCCUGACCUCUGACCUGUGAUGUCAUCCCCAGGGUCACCCUCAUUCCAGUCAGCGCUGCUCACACACAGCUCUAGAGGAGAGCUACUGUCCUCAGGCAAAGCGAGGACUCUUUGAGUCGUUCGCCAGUCGAAGCGGUCCGUCGGUGACUCCGGAAGGACGUCAGGCCAUUCAUCAGCCAGUGGCCUCCGGUGACUGUCGACACAUCAACUGCUGACCCCCCCAACUUCCCCCUUACCCCCCCUGACCCGGACCUACAUUUCAAAGAGGACCUCCAUGAAGACUGGCUUUUGGACUGUUUACUGGGGCCGAGGUCUGCGCCACUACCACCCGAGAGUUUUAUUUCGCUCUUUCCUUCACUCUUUCUCUCCAUCUUUUCUUCUGUUCUUCCACCAUUAAUUCCCUCAGAAUCUCCCUCUGUUCUUUCCUUGGGGGUUGAUCCAGGGCGGUCAGUGUCAAGAGAGGACACUGCGGAGGUCAGGAGGGGUUGAAGUGGUUCCUGACUUGGGUUGUUAGGGGUCUGUUCCAGGGAUGGAUAGUCCUUGGCGGGGUGGGGGGGCAGGAUGUCCUCCUGUGAGAGCCAUUCCACCCUGCAGCGCUGAAUCGGGGGGACCCGGGGAUAGGGAGUUGGAGAAGGGGCAGAUUGGUCCUCCCUGGGAGUCUCUGCCUGCCCCUGGUACAGACGAGAGUGUUCACUGAUCAGUACAGUCAUCAGGUGCUGCACCUGGGAACUACCUGCAGGAUGCAAUAAAAAGCUAAUUGUUAGUAUGUACCCCUUUUCCAGUGUGGGAUUCUAGCUUGAAAUAUAUAUUUGAUCAUGUUUCCAUACUAGAACUUAAUGAUUACUUUACAUGUUUAAGGAAUGUACUGUACAUGUUGGGGUCAAUGGAGGGGGGAUAAGAACUAGGUGUAUGGAAAGUUACUGAGUGAGGAGGGGGGAGUGCAGAAAGUUUACAUUACAUCAAAACAUAAUAUUGUUCAAUCUCAUGGCUCCUAAGGAGGGAGGCAAAGGUUUUCAGUCACUGAUCAAUUAGGACAGCCGUGGAUUAGGGAGGAGCAAGGAAUUCGGCCCGGGGUCAGGUCAGAUGAAGUGAGAAGGAAUAGUCCUAUCCCACAUGCAUAUAUUUCCAUGCCCACGAAGGUUCUAGCAUGAGGCAGGGCCAUGACUACACCAUUGAGAGGAACCAGUUAAGUUCCUGACUAGCAACAAAGUACUUAUUGGCUGUCGAGAUGUGCAAGGAGUUGAACAUUCCUAGUAGGAGGGUAUAAAUAUAUGUGCUUGUGUAAACAUGUCUUUGUAGCUGUUUGACGCAGUGGGUGAAUAAACUUGGU